rnacentral:lncRNA from 1 species
GUGAUUGGUCGCAAGUACUUAAUUGUGUUAACUACUUUGGUAAACAAUUUUACGUUAAUAAAAUAACUUAUAUACUUGAAGACUUUGUUAAUUUAGUUCUUCUAUUAUCUUCAUGAAGACCAUGGAACGGUCAUGCUUUAUUUCCCCAACACAAGCCAUGCUUCAGGGAUAUAAACUAUACAAGGUUUCAUAGCUUGUAACAUACAUACAAGGUUGCUACUUAACAAUUAUCAAAACAGCCCAUUGGAACAGUGCACACCAGGUUAGACUAUGGUCCUAAAACUAAUUUGGUAUCAGACAAGUACUAAAAUCAGACCUGGAGCGAGAACAAUCCGCUUCCGAGCUAACUUUAUUAUCCUUAGUUAAUCUUGUAUUUCCCUUCUGUACACAAGCAGACCUCAGCCAUAUGAAAAGUGAUAUUAAAGCUUGGUUUUUAAGUUCCCAAACAACUCCAAAACAGUUCUAAAUUAUUCCAAUGUUAAUUUCCUAUGAUUACUAUUCAAUUAGGAAUUAAUUUUGUGAUUGAAGAACACAUAGUUUAUGGUUUUAAUCUCUAAUUAGAAAUUCUGAUUUUCUUUCCACUUUUCAAUCCAAAACAUACACACUCAAAACAUAAAUGUAUAAACCAAUAUUUCAAAACAAAGUUGCAGGAUGUAAAAUCACAAAUUAUAACAGAUUAAGACAAAACGAAAUUACACUCCGAAGUACAAAAUCACCAAUCAGAAUCACAGACCAGAAAUCAAAAGGAAGGAAUUAAAGAAAGCAUAAAUCUAUUCUAAUUCGCCCAAUUACUAAACAUAAGACCAGAAAUUCAAGAAUGGCUUAUGCUAAUUCAAAAGGGUAGAAUGAAAAUAGAAUAACCACAUAGUAACAAAAUUAAAAGGUACGGGACAGAAAUCAAAAUAAAAGAAAUAGAGAGACAUAAGAACUUAAUCUAAUCCAACCAAUUACGAAGUAUUAGUUUUCCCCUAACCUUAAGUUUUGAUGAAUUCUUUCUUUGAUCCUAGCUGCUGAAAUCCUUUCUUCUCCUUCCUAUGGCGGCUGCCGGCGGCUGCCUCUACCUCCUCUCUACCUCAAUUUUUCUGAUUUUCUUUCUAAGUUACAAAACUAGGUUAAUUCCAGGUUUUAUUAAACUAGUUUUAACAUAAUUCUUAUUUUUUUUGGGCUUCCUAUCUGCACCCCUCUUUUACUUCGUGUUAUCAAACCCAAGUCCACUUACUACUUUUCUAUUAUUACUA